rnacentral:tRNA from 1 species
AGUGAAGUGCCUGAAUAAAGGGUAAUUUUGAUAGAAUUAAUCAUACAGGUUAAUCCUGUCUUCACUU